AUGCAGCUGGGGCUGGGGUCGAGGGCCCUGAGAAGCCGGUGUGUCGGGCCCGGAGGGCAGUGUGUGCGGAGGCGGGGCCUGAGCACAGCCCAGGCGGCAGAGCUUCCCAGGGCUGCUCCGGGGACGGGGACGGGGACGCAAUGGCUCUCUCCUUCUUGCACUUUGGAAGGCGACGUCCCAGAGUUGGGCUCUUUCCAGAACAGGUCGUUUCGCUGGCAGCAGAACAUGGGUGAAGGAUCGGAUGGGCAAGGCUGGGGCUAGAAGCAGGGGAUCCAACGUCCCAGUGUCCAGUCGUGCCUCCCGCCCACCCCACGGGUUGAGAGAGGAGCAGAUCCUGGGAAGGAGCGAAGUUUGCCUGGAUGGGCCUUGUGCGGCUCUGGGGAAGAGAGGAUGUCACUCAAAGUUCCCGAGGCUGCGGGGGAGUCCUGACGUCUAAGCUUCCUCGGAUGAGGAGGGUAUUUCAAUUCCCGUCCAGAGGUUCCUCAGAACAGAGCCUCCAUGCAAGCCUGUGCUGUGGCAAGCGUCCAGCCGCAGCCCGUGGAGUCCGCAUUCUUUCCACUAGAGGGCGGUCAGCUGUGAAAGCACCUGGGAUCCCGAGAGGGGGCCUGAGAGGCAGGGGUGGAGAUGUGGCCCGAGGGACGGAGAGUCUCCUGGCCUCCGGGAGCCUUGAGCAUACUGCUCUUCCAGCUGCCUGAGCAGGUGCCCACAGGGUUUCGGAGACCUCCUGACAGCAGGUGUGGGCCCAAGGGAGCCGAAGGAUCUCCUGAGGAGAGUCUCGUUGGAGAAGACACUGGGUAGGCUUGGCACUGUUGCCGCAGAGCUGGCCAUCAACCUCCUGGGUUUGGGCCCAGGAGGGAGGUUCCAGGAGAAGCCCCUCGGAGGCUGCCCCUUGCCAGAUGAGCCCCCAGGAGCCCCCGAGUUCCACACACGGGGUGAGUGGGUUGGCGAGCCGGCGCUCUCCGGCCCCGCGCGCGCGCAGGUCGCCCUUUCCUGAUCCAGGGCCUUCUGCUCACUCCCGCAGCUUCCUCACGACUACCGGCCCCCACCUCCCCCAAAGUGGGUUUCUCCGGAGGGAUUCUCUGAAGCCGAUUUCUUCUCGCCCCUCCUCUGUCCCACCAUUGAGGCUGCUGACUCGGGCCUGGUCCUGUUUUGGAUGGCUACCCCUGCAAGCGGGAAAUGCG
rnacentral:lncRNA from 1 species